rnacentral:misc_RNA from 1 species
UUAACUAUUAUAUAGUACUCAGACGACACAUAAUACAAGAGUUGGUUGGGUCUCUGGCGGGCACUCACGGACCAAAGCCCGUGGCAAGAAGCGUCCCGCCAAAGCAACAAGAGAAUAGAUAUCAAGGGUGGGAGGUCUACCCGUGAGGGCAAGAACUCUGUAAUGAUCCUUCCGCAGGUUCACCUACGGAAA